UAAAAAGUUGUCCUUCCAGUGGGACAGCCUUGCUUUUCUGAAACCGGCUGACUGACGUAAACUCUGAAAUCAUGCCUCCUAGGUUACUUUAGUCACAGGCACAGAAAACGUCAUGGGUGCCCUAGGCCCCGAGGCCCAGGAGCCUGUUGGAAAUAAGGAAAGACCCCCCCCUCAAAGUGCGGGAAAAGGGGGAGACCGCCUGGACCGACAGCCCCCGGAGCCCCCUGCUCUCCCGUGGUCGCAUGGACCAAGCUCCGCUCCCACACCCCAGCGAGGCCGCGGAGAAGCACGGAGACUCGGAAGGCAAAAACUUUUCCGGAGUUUGGCGGAGCCGCAACAAAGUAGCGGGGGCGGGGGAGGGGAACGGGCCGGGGCCGCCGCACCCCCUGCUGCCCUCCGGCGCCCCGAUCCGCGGGGAAACACCCCACCAUCAAGCAGAGGGAAGGAAAAGCUGCCCCGCACUCACCUCUCGCAGGACCACCGCCACCAGCAACAAGAGCGCUAGCAGCCGCGGGACGCGCGCACCGGCAGGCAUGGCAGCGCCGAGCACGGACCGCUCUACACCGGCUCAGCCUGGCCGCAAGCGGGGGCAGCCCCGCCCGCAGCCCGCCCCCUUCCCGCCCGUGGGCGCGACGUCACCCUGCGUGUGCCGGCACCUCACCCUCGUGCGAUGGCCCGGCCGCAGUACUCGCACUGCUCAAAGGUGCCCGCGUUUUGGAGGCAGCCCCUGCAACACCCGAGGCGGCCUCCGAGGGUUUCAACUGGCUUUGUGGCUUGCUGUCAGCACCUUCUCGCCUGAAAGUCCCGCAGAACUUGUGGCAGAGGUGACAGCUUUUAUUAGACUACCGAAAAGAAUUUUUUUUUGUUGAAAAAAACUGCUUGGUCUAAUAAAAGCUGUCACCUCUGCCGCGAGUUGUGGUUCCUUGUGCCUCUAGAACAACGCAGCUCUAACCUGGGCACCUGUCUGAAAAGAAAAGAUCUAAAAAAAAAAUAGACAUCUAGAUAUAGAUAGAUCUAUCUAGGUAUAUAUCUAGAUAUAUAGAUUGGGGUGGACAAAAUGCAAUUGCGGGGCCCCUAAAAAUUUUAGAAAAUUAAUAUUUAUCUGCCCUGGGCUGCCUGUCAUGUGGCCCUCGAUGGCUUGCUAAAACUCAAUAAGAGGCCCUCUGUCCACCUCUGAUAUAGCUACAUAUAGAUCUUUCUCUCUCUCUCUCUCUAUAUAUGUGUGUAUAUAUAGGCAGUUACAUAUAUACACCAGCUCAGAACACAUAUAAAACCUUAGACCCACCCCAAAACCCCACAUUCAUGCGCUCCUGCACCCGUUCCAAUAAUCGCACCUGCACUCCCACGCUCCCACGCACCUGCGCUCCUGCGCAAUCCUUCCCUUGAUUCAGUUACACUGAAGGCUCAAAUCACCAGGGAGUGCAGGGGGGCUGAGUCCCCCAUACAAGAUGGGACCCCCCCUGAAAGGUUUAAAAAUCAUAACGUGGGUGGGUCUUUGAUUUCAUUAGGGCAUCGUGAUCGACAGCCCAUUUUUUAUGCAGACCCCACCAGUAGUCAAAGUGUAAUUCAAAGCCUGAUUACACUGUCUCCUGGUGCUAGCACUGGUUUCGAGCUUUAACCUCUCAGUUUAUUCACUGUCGUUGUCACUGCUGCUGCCUGAAAAUAAAGAAAUGCUAUCACUUUGACCCAGUUCUCACUCGCUCUCUAGCAAGUUAUAGUGAGCAAUAUAAAGUAAAGAAGCAGACUUAUUUAAUAUAUAUUUGAUCAUUUUGAGCUUCCAAUAUGAUAAUUUCAUAUUUAAGACCUGGCAAUGCUGCCUGUGGGCCAACACUCCAGCUCCUCGCCUCCUACCCCCCGCCCCACCCACCCAGUGUUGCCAGGCGUCCAAUAAUUAUCAUAUUUGUACAAUAGUUUCCACCCUUGUACAAUGUAUAAUGGAUAAUACUAACUGUUCAAAAUGUAUGAUAAUUUUUUAUGCAGUUAAUUGAUGCAGCAUAUGCAAAACCCAAGUCACUCUCAGGGAGUCUUAACUGGCUUUUGGGUUCUCUGUCAGCACUUUCUUAUGACUGUUUGCCUUGAAAUAAAGAAAUGCUCCAACUUUGAGAA